UACGUAGGGUGCAAGCGUUAAUCGGAAUUACUGGGCGUAAAGCGUGCGCAGGCGGUUUUGUAAGUCUGACGUGAAAUCCCCGGGCUCAACCUGGGAAUUGCGUUGGAGACUGCAAGGCUUGAAUCUGGCAGAGGGGGGUAGAAUUCCACGUGUAGCAGUGAAAUGCGUAGAGAUGUGGAGGAACACCGAUGGCGAAGGCAGCCCCCUGGGUCAAGAUUGACGCUCAUGCACGAAAGCUGGGGGAGCAAACAGG
rnacentral:rRNA from 1 species